GUAACAGGAAGCAGCUUGCUGCUUCGCUGACGAGUGGCGGACGGGUGAGUAAUGUCUGGGAAACUGCCUGAUGGAGGGGGAUAACUACUGGAAACGGUAGCUAAUACCGCAUAACGUCGCAAGACCAAAGAGGGGGACCUUCGGGCCUCUUGCCAUCGGAUGUGCCCAGAUGGGAUUAGCUAGUAGGUGGGGUAACGGCUCACCUAGGCGACGAUCCCUAGCUGGUCUGAGAGGAUGACCAGCCACACUGGAACUGAGACACGGUCCAGACUCCUACGGGAGGCAGCAGUGGGGAAUAUUGCACAAUGGGCGCAAGCCUGAUGCAGCCAUGCCGCGUGUAUGAAGAAGGCCUUCGGGUUGUAAAGUACUUUCAGCGGGGAGGAAGGCGACAAGGUUAAUAACCUUGUCGAUUGACGUUACCC
rnacentral:rRNA from 1 species